rnacentral:rRNA from 1 species
GUGCCAGCCGCUGCGGUAAUACGAAGGGGGCUAGCGUUGUUCGGAAUUACUGGGCGUAAAGCGCACGUAGGCGGAUAUUUAAGUCAGGGGUGAAAUCCCAGAGCUCAACUCUGGAAACUGCCUUUGAUACUGGGUAUCUUGAGUAUGGAAGAGGUAAGUGGGAAUUCCGAGUGUAGAGGUGAAAUUCGUAGAUAUUCGGAGGAACACCAGUGGCGAAGGCGGCUUACUGGUCCAUUACUGACGCUGAGGUGCGAAAGCGUGGGAGCAAACAGGAUUAGAUACCCUGGUAGUCCACGCCGUAAACG